rnacentral:lncRNA from 1 species
GGACAUGAGAGAUCAUAAAUGUAAUAGGAUUUAGUGUUGCUUGUCUGUCUCUCUCUUUUGUCUCCCCUUUUUCUUCCUCGAUGAGAAUCCGUUUUAUACCUAUCAUACCUCUAAGGAUCAUUUAAUAAAUGUCCCUUUGAGUCUCAUGUUUAAAUGGUGUUGAUAACGUCCACCGCCCUCAAUACUAUCAUGUAACGUCUUCCUCAUCAUUUUCUA